rnacentral:misc_RNA from 1 species
GAAAUGCGAUACGUAGUGUGAAUUGCAGAAUUCAGUGAAUCAUCGAAUCUUUGAACGCACAUUGCGCCCUUUGGUAUUCCAAAGGGCAUGCCUGUUCGAGCGUCAUUUGUACCCUCAAGCUUUGCUUGGUGUUGGGCGUCUUUUUGUCUCUCCCCUUGUUGGGGGAGACUCGCCUUAAACGAUUGGCAGCCGACCUACUGGUUUUCGGAGCGCAGCACAAAUUUGCGCCUUCCAAUCCACGGGGCGGCAUCCAGCAAGCCUUUGUUUUCUAUAACAAAUCCACAUUUUGACCUCGGAUCAGGUAGGGAUACCCGCUGAACUUAAGC